rnacentral:rRNA from 1 species
AAGGGCGCACGGUGGAUGCCUUGGCACUAGAAGCCGAUGAAGGACGUUACUAACGACGAUAUGCUUUGGGGAGCUGUAAGUAAGCUUUGAUCCAGAGAUUUCCGAAUGGUGAAACCCAGCAUGAGUUAUGUCAUGUUAUCGAUAUGUGAAUACAUAGCAUAUCAGAAGGCACACCCGGAGAACUGAAACAUCUUAGUACCCGGAGGAAGAGAAAGAAAAUUCGAUUCCCUUAGUAGCGGCGAGCGAAACGGGAAGAGCCCAAACCCACAAGCUUGCUUGUUGGGGUUGUAGGACACUCUAUACGGAGUUA